rnacentral:rRNA from 1 species
AUACGUAGGUGGCGAGCGUUGUCCGGAAUGACUGGGCGUAAAGGGUACGUAGGCGGCCAGAUAAGUCAGAUGUGAAAGGCAUGGGCUUAACCCGUGUUAGCAUUUGAAACUGUGUGGCUUGAGUUAAGGAGAGGAAAGUGGAAUUCCUGGUGUAGCGGUGAAAUGCGUAGAUAUCAGGAGGAAUACCAGUGGCGAAGGCGACUUUCUGGACUUAAACUGACGCUGAGGUACGAAAGCGUGGGGAGCAAACAGGAUUAGAUACCCUGGUAGUCCACGCCGUAAACGAUGAGUGCUAGGUGUCGGGGGUCGAACCUCGGUGCCGGAGCUAACGCAUUAAGCACUCCGCCUGGGGAGUACGGUCACAAGACUAAA